UACAGAGGGUGCAAGCGUUAAUCGGAAUUACUGGGCGUAAAGCGCGCGUAGGUGGUUCGUUAAGUCGGGUGUGAAAGCCCCGGGCUCAACCUGGGAAUUGCAUUCGAGACUGAAUAGCUAGGGUACGGUAGAGGGAAGUGGAAUUUCCGGUGUAGCGGUGAAAUGCGUAGAUAUCGGAAGGAACAUCAGUGGCGAAAGCGACUUCCUGGACCAGUACCGACGUUCAGGCACGAAAGCGUGGGGAGCAAACAGG
rnacentral:rRNA from 1 species